UCAAGGGAGAGUGAUGGUUGGUCAUUAUUACCCUCCUUGUCCUGAGCCUGAUCUGACGGUGGGACUCACUUCUCAUGCAGACCCAGGGGCUCUUACUGUGGUCUUGCAGGACCACGUUGGUGGGUUGCAGGUUAGAAGCAAAGAUGGCUGGGUUGAUGUGAAGCCUGUUCCGGGAGCUUUGGUUUUCAAUAUUGGAGAUUUGCUUCAGGUUAGAACUCCAAUACCCUCUCUUUCUCUUUUUCAAACAAAUGAUGCCAUCCUUCUAAAGAAAUUUAUUUUGGUUCUUUUCUGAAAACCAGAUUGAAUUGAGUAUAUUUGCGUUGGAAAAUACCGGAAACUAACUUUUAGGGCUUCAAUAUUAGCUGACUUUUAUUUUAUUUUUUAAGUUUAGAGCUUAGCGUUUAUGAUUUAAGAUUUUUUUUUUUUUUUUUUUUUGUGACUGAUUUAAGAUUUUGUUAAGUAUUUAAGAUUUAAUCAUAGCAAAUACACGAGGCUUGGAUACAUAUUGGUUGAAAAUUUGUUAAAGGCAGGGCUAAACAUAAAAAAUUGCAAAUGCCUUAUAGUCCACGGAAGUUCUGGUUUUCGUAUAAGGACCUAGAACUUUGAUGCGGACAAAAAUGUGAUAGUUGUGUUAUAUUAUGCUGAAUUUGGAGGUGAGACUGAGACUCUGAGAGACAGAUUAAGUUUUUGUAUUGUUUUGAUGUAAAAUGUACUGGACUGAGUUAUGUCUUAAUAUUAUGUUUGGUUUAAGAUAAAUAUAGAGAUUGAAGAAUAGAUUUAGAAUUUGAAAAGUUAAAUGAGAAUAUUUUUUAAAAAAAUUGUUAUAAAAAUUUCUGUCUCUGUCUCUAAGAUUAUGUUUGUUUCCUGGGACUAGAAUUGAGAUGGUGGGACUGAGACUUUUCGAAACACAAAAUUUCAGUCAAUACCCCCACAAAGUGCAGACACAGCCUUAAUGUUUUUAUUAGUUAAGCAAUAUUACUUCAAAAAAUAGCCAAAAAUAAUACUUUUUGAAAUCUUCUCAUCAGAACCACUUGCACAAUAUUUAGAUUCUCUGAUAACAAAGUUAAAUGGACUAUCGGAUUAGCCAAUGGACUGAUUGAUGUUGUAAAAUUUGAUCACAUAUUUUUGCGUUAAUUUUGAAAUAUCUCAAUGCUCUUCAAUUCUUGCUUUCCUUGUUACCUGGAUUUCUAAUAUAAUAUCCAUUACUUUGGCUCUCAGAUAAUUUCUAACGAGGAAUAUAAGAGUGCUGAUCAUCGGGUAUUAGCAAAUUGCUCAAAUGAUCCUCGAGUGUCAAUUGCUAUUUUCUUCAAUCCGGGUGAGAGGGAGAAAACCUUUGGACCUUUGCCGGAGCUAACAUCAGCAGAGAAACCACCUCUUUAUAGGAACUUCACAUUCAAUGAAUUUAUUACAAGGUUCUUCAAGAAAGAGUUGGACGGUAAAUCAUUGACAAAUUUCUUCAGGCAGUGAUGUAGACAGCA
rnacentral:lncRNA from 1 species